UCCUGGCUGUAAACGCUGCGGGCUUGGUGUUGGGGGUCCUGUGAGGGCACCCAGUGCCGUAGAGAAGUUGUUAAGCCCGCCACCUGGGGAGUACGGCCGCAAGGCUGAAACUUAAAGGAAUUGGCGGGGGAGCACCGCAACGGGAGGAGCGUGCGGUUUAAUUGGAUUCAACGCCGGAAAACUCACCAGGGGCGACCGCCGUACGAGGCUCAGCUUGAUGGGCUUAGCCGAUAGGUGGAGAGGUGGUGCAUGGCCGUCGUCAGUUCGUACCGUAAGGCGUUCUCUUAAGUGAGAUAACGAACGAGACCCUCGCCUUUAAUUGCUACCAUGUCCUCCGGGGCAUGGGCACAUUAGAGGGACCGCCGCUGCUAAA
rnacentral:rRNA from 1 species